rnacentral:lncRNA from 1 species
AUGGAAAAGAGACAAAAACAUAUCGAAAGAGAAGAGAGACAGAAAGACAUUGAAAGAGAGAAUGAAGAAGAAAGAUGUAAACAGAAGCAAAUAGAGAUGGAAGAGGAAGAAAGAGAAGAAGAGAGACAGAGAGCGAUCGAAGAGAAAGAAAGACGACAGCAACAAGAGGAGAUAAAGAUAAUGUUUGAGAGAGAUCAAGAAGAAGAAAAUAUAUGGAAACAGAAGCAAAUUGACAUGGAGAAGGAGGGAAGAGAGGGGGAGAACAAGAGACAGAGAGAGAUAGAAGAGAUACACAGACGACAACAACAAGAGGAGAGACAGAAACAAAUGGAGAAGGAGAAAGAAAGGGAGAAAGACAAUGACAAUCAGAGAGAGAUGGAAUUAAAAGAUCAGCAACAGAAAGAGAUGGAGAAAGAAAAGAUGAUUAUGAGAGAAAGGGAGGAAGCAGGAAGAAGAAAGGAGGGGCAGAAAAAUAUUUUGGGGGAAAUUGAGGGACAGAAUGAACUGGAGAUAGAACAGGAGAGAGAGAUGGAAGAAAAGCAGGCAGUGAUUAAGGAAGCAGAGGAAGAGUACAGGGAAAGAGAAGAGAGAGGAAAGGAAGUAAGCAUGAAGAAACAUGUAGUAGUUAAUGUUAAAGCAAAAGCACGGGAAGUCUUCAAUAGGCGUAAAGAGAGGAGGUUAGAAGUGUUGAAGGGGGAACGAGAACACAUAGAAAGAGGACAACAAAUCAGGAGGGAGAAGGAGGAAAGACAGCUGGAGAUGGAAAGAAAACAGGAGAGGGCAAGACAACAAGAGGAGCAGGAUAAAAAACAAGAGAUUGAAAUUGCUAGACAGAAAGAAAUGUUGAGACUAAGAGAGGAGGAGAGGCAGAGAGAGGAAGAGAGAGAGGAACAGAGAAAGAGAGCCAUUGAAGGCCAUUUAGCUUUAAUCAGAGAGAGAGAGAAGAUUUUAGAGGUAAAGAAAAAAGAGGAGAUGGGGGGGCCAGACAGCCAGCAGCUAGAAGCUCCAGAAGAGGCUGAAACAUCAGAGCCAACCUCCAAGAACAAGAAAAAGCCAAGCAUCUGGAAGAGAAUUAAGAUGAGCCUUCCUGACGUGCUGUCUGCCUAGAGCUGGAACUCGAUGAAGCCACAGUUCCACUGAGGUUACGUUGGUAAUUAAAAGUGUCGCCCAAUAAUUCCUCCUCCUCUUUAAGUCAUCGAGCCACAUUUCCUCCUCAAAACAUUAUAGUCUCCUCAAGCCAGCAAGUAUCCUCUUUAUCAGGCAACAAACCAUCUAAGAUCAGUGACCCUCCUCCCCAGAGCAGAGACUCUCAUCUGUAUCCUAGUUAAAUUCAUCUCUGCUUACCACCUCUACAGUCCUAGAAAAUAUCCCAAAAAUGGAAAUGGUUUCAACAGAAGUCCUCCCCUCAGACCAGUGGCUCCACAGACCAGAGUUUCUCAUCUUUAUUCAAGUUGAAUGCAACUCUGAUCAUUUCCACCACCUCUCCUGUUAAGGGGAGGUGCUGAAAAGGAGGUCUGGGAGGAGGUCUGCAGGUAGCCUGGACCGGACCGGUAGCAGCUAAGUUGCUGGCUCCAUCCCCGGGUAGAGCUGCUCAAGUCAGGCCAGUGAUGUUUGAUGAUGUCAUUUUUGUUAGCAAAGUUUUACUCUUUAAUAAAAGCAUUUAGUAAAAAAGCAAUAUUGUUGUUACGGUGUGGAUUGUUUUGUUAUUUAUUAGAAUUGAAACAUCCAGUAGUCAUGGUAGAUGUUAGACUUUCAAUGAGACACCUAACAUUCCAUCAGUUUGAUCCAAUGUGUGACAUGUUAUAUUAUAUUAGUCCUCUAUACACAUCUAUUUUAGACCAUAGGAGAAAUAUCAGAUUGAAAUAGCUUCUCUAAGAAUCUGAGGAGAGAGCAACAGUAGAUGCAUCGUUAGCUCUCCCACCUCCAGUUCAGUACUCGGGUCAUUCCACCAAUUGAGUACCUUUUGGGGAGUGUAACUUUUAUUUCACCUAAUUCUAAUAUUUUGUCAUAAAUAGCACAUGUUCAACUUAAUAAAAAACAUGUUUUCCCAUCUCAAAAGUAACAAAUACAUACUAUAGUAAGUGCCUAUUAAGUGCCAAAUAAAGUGACAGGGUUGACUGUAACAGAGUUGACUAUUUCAUCUAGAAUCAACCAUAGAUCCCCAUGUGACAGGGGGAAUGGAAUGCAAGCUUACCAAACACAUGUAAAUAGUUUAAACAUUUCUAGACUGUCUAUCUAUAGGUAACAGGGUUGGUGUGUUAUAAUUCACCCACCCAGUGGUGAUUGCAGCAUGUACAUCUUGGUGGGGAAAACUCCCCCAAAAUGUUUUAGAUGAAUGCCAGCAAAGCCACUACACAACACAACACUAAACAAUACAUUAAUUGCAAUAUAACUUUAACAAACGGUGCCCACAAACUGUUAGGGUCGACAUAAAGCUGAUGGACGUAGUCAAUAUAACCAUUUGUAUAGCACUUUUGAAGUGAACAUGGGCCAUUCUUACAGUAUUCUCCCUGUACACCAAGUCAUAACUGCAUAUAAGCAGACAAUGAAAGCACUUACAAAAUUUGAUGAUUACAUUUCUCUAAAAUGGGCUGUAGUCUACAUGUGCAUCAUCAAGUCAGAGCAGUAGGCUAAGUUAUGAGAGGGGAAAGUGACAACAUUAUUAGGGUGAGGCACAUGGGCUCCUAACAGCUUACUACACAACAUACACUUAGUAUUACUUUCUUAUCUACAGUAUACACAUCUCCCUGGCAUAUUACAUCAUUUAUAGAGCAGCAGUCAAUACAUUGUUGGACUCACCUUGUUGUGCUCACUUGAACAGGAAGGUGUAGCGGCGGUUUGGCAUCAAAGUCUGUCAUUCUCUGGAUUUAUGGUUCUUUCAAGACAACUGGGAACUCGGGAAAAAACAAGGUUGAAUCUUGACAUCAGUGAUCUUCAGGUCAGAGUAGAAGAAAGAGGCCCGAGUUCCUGACUUGGAUUUCUGAGUUUGAUGGCCGUUCAAAACCUGUUUUCCCAGUCAGAGUUCCCAGUUGUCUUGAACUCACUGAAGUCUAAGAGUUCCCAGUCAGAGUUCACAGUUGUCUUGAACUCACUGAAGUCUAAGAUGUCCCAGUUCCGAGUUUCCAGUUGUUUUGAAUGCGGCAGUAGUGAUGUUGAAUAGCAGGCUAGUGAUUGCUUUGUUAAGCUUGCAGUUAGCCACUGAUUCCUUCCAAACCACUCAUUGUUGAAUUUACGAUUUCCAACUUUUUGUGUUUAUUUGGAAAGGUUGAUGACCACCGAUACUUUUUAUCUAUAAUUUCUCUUCAUAUGACAAGGAUUGAAAAGGAUUUGCCAGUAGAUUGUUGACUGGAUGCAUGAUGAUGACUGCUAGCUUGGUAGCUUUGAUUUUGAAAAUAUGAUGUUGAACCAAUCACGGCGCAACCAGAGAACAUAACCAACCCCUUAAAUAAGGUAUUUAAGUUCUGUAUUUUUAAUAGAUUUGCAAAAAUGUCUAAAUAUAUAUUUUCACUUUAACAUUGUGUGUAGAUUAUAGAAGAUUUUUUAUUUAUUUAUUUAAACCAUUUUAGAGUAAGUCUGUAACGUUACUAAGUGUGGAAAAAGGUCAAGGGGUCUGAAUACUUUCAGAAGGCACUGUGCAUAUGAUGGGCAUGAUGUUUUCACGACAACUGAGAACUACAAAAUAAAAAAUAAAAAAAGUAAAAUCAUGACGUCAGUCAUCUUCUGGUCGGAAAGUUCGGAACUCCAGAAAGAUACUCAAGUGACCGACUUGGAAUUCUGAGUUGGAUGACCUUUCAAAAGAUUUUUAUCAGUCGGGUCUCGUUUUUUCCCAAGUUACCAGUUGUUAAGAAUGCACUUGAGUCGGAGACUUCAGACCUCCGAGUUGCUAUCUCUAGUCCUGUAGGCUCAAAGGAGGGAGGGAGAGAAUGUAACCGAUGUGAAAUGGCUAGCUAGUUAGUGGUGGUGCGCGCUAAUAGCGUUUCAAUCGGGUGACGUCACUCGCUCUGAGACCUGAAGUAGUUCCCCUUGCUCUGCAAGGGCCGUGGCUUUUGUGGCGCGAUUGGUAAUGAUGCUUCGUGGGUGACUGUUGAUGUGUGCAGAGGGUCCCUGGUUCGAGCCUGGGUAGGGGCGAGGGGAUGGACUAAGGUUAUACUGUUACAAGAGCAUGAGAGGGUUCACCUUCCACGCCCCCUGCUCUCUCUCCCUCCAGUGAGACUGACUAGAGACACCUGAUGGUGAAACUCGAAUCACACUGCAUAUCUGCCUCAUGCACAAAUGCAUGUUCUGCUUGUGACCAGAGAAAGCUAAAUAUUCCUUUCUGAUGGGCCAGUGAAGGUAGGAAACAUCUCCUCCACCCCGCUGAUCCUCAACACUGGGGCCCCACAAGGGUGCGUGCUCAGCCCACUCCUGUUCUCACUGUUCACCCAUGACUGCGUGGACAUGCACGCCUCCAACUCAAUCAUCAAGUUUGCAUAUGACACAACAGUGGUAGGCUUGAUUACCAACAACGAUGAGACAGCCUACAGGGACGAGGUGAGGGCUCUGGGAGUGUGGUGCCAGGACAAUAAUCUCUCACUCAACGUCAACAAAGGAGAUGAUCAUGGACUUCAGGAAAGAGCAGAGGGAGCACCCUCCUAUUCACAUCGACGGGACAGCUGUGGAGAAGGUGGAAAGUUUUAAGUUCCUCAGCGUACACAUCACUGACCAAACUGAAAUGGUCCACAGACAGUGUGGUGAAGAAGGCUGAAAAAAUUUGGCUUGUCACCUAAAACCUGUCGGGCUGUAUCCUGUCGUGCUGUAUCGCCGCCUGGUACGGAAACUGCACCGCCCACAACCGCAGGGCUCUCCAGAGGGUGGUGCGGUCUGCACAAAGCAUCACCGGGGGCAAACUACCUGCCCUCCAGGACACCUACACCACCCGAUGACACGGGAAGGCCAAAAAGAUCAUCAAAGACAGCAACCACCCGAGCCACUGCCUGUUCACCCCGCUAGUAUCCAGAAGGGGAGGUCAGUACAGCUGCAUCAAAGCUGGGACCGAGAGACUGAAAAAGACUGAAAAACAGCUUCUAUCUCAAGGCCAUCAGACUGUUAAAUAGCCAUAACUGACGCAGAGAGGCUGCUUGAGGCACAGAC